AUACGGAGGGUGCGAGCGUUGUUCGGAAUUAUUGGGCGUAAAGCGCGUGUAGGCGGUUUGUUAAGUCUGAUGUGAAAGCCCUGGGCUCAACCUGGGAAGUGCAUUGGAUACUGGUAGACUUGAGUACGGGAGAGGGUAGUGGAAUUCCCAGUGUAGGAGUGAAAUCCGUAGAUAUUGGGAGGAACACCGGUGGCGAAGGCGGCUGCCUGGACCGAUACUGACGCUGAGACGCGAAAGCGUGGGUAGC
rnacentral:rRNA from 1 species